AACGAACGCUGGCGGCAGGCUUAACACAUGCAAGUCGAGCGCCCCGCAAGGGGCGCGGCAGACGGGUGAGUAACGCGUGGGAACGUACCCUUUGCUACGGCAUAGCUCCGGGAAACUGGAAUUAAUACCGUAUGUGCCCUACGGGGGAAAGAUUUAUCGGCAAAGGAUCGGCCCGCGUUGGCUUAGUUAGUGGGUGGGGUAAUGGCCUACCAAGGCGACGAUCCAUAGCUGGUCCGAGAGGAUGAGCAGCCACAUUGGGACUGAGACACGGCCCAAACUCGUACGGGAGGCAGCAGUGGGGAAUAUUGAACAAUGGGCGCAAGCCUGAUCCAGCCAUGCCGCGUGAGGGAUGGAGGCCGUCGGGUUGGAAAGCUCUUUCACCGGAGAAGAUAAUGACGGUAUCCGGAGAAGAAGCCCCGGCUAACUUCGUGCCAGCAGCCGCAGUAACAC
rnacentral:rRNA from 1 species